UACGUAGGGGGCAAGCGUUGUCCGGAAUCAUUGGGCGUAAAGCGCGCGUAGGCGGCCCGGUAAGUCCGCUGUGAAAGUCAAGGGCUCAACCCUUGAAAGCCGGUGGAUACUGCUGGACUAGAGUCCGGAAGAGGCGAGUGGAAUUCCUGGUGUAGCGGUGAAAUGCGCAGAUAUCAGGAGGAACACCGGUGGCGAAGGCGGGUCUCUGGGCCGUAACUGACGCUGAGGAGCGAAAGCGUGGGGAGCGAACAGG
rnacentral:rRNA from 1 species